rnacentral:tRNA from 1 species
UGGGAUAUAGCUCAGUGGUAGAUCAAACAGCUAACAUACUUUAAAUUCUGGGUUCAAGUCCCAGUACCACAA